AUUGAUUUCCUUGCUAAUCUAUGAGAUUGUGAUUUGCAUAUUAUAAUGUAUAGGUAUUCUAUUUAACUGGCAUCCAAAAAAAAUUAGAUGCAAUACAGAACAUACAGGUUUUAACUGUUGAUGAGCAGAACUCUUAAGUAUGACAGAUCUUCUUCAUUGAUUAAGAAUCUCAACUUGAAUGACAAAGAAGAAACAUGGAGAUAGAAAAGGGGAUGACCUUUUAGCUUCUUUUAGAGUAGUUGGAAGGUAAACCUUGAUAUGCA